AUCUACGGCCAUACCACCCUCAACACUCCUGAUCUCCUCUGAUCUUGGAAGCUAAGCAGGGUUGGGCCUGGUUAGUGCUUGGAUGGGAAAAUAUAUAACUACAAUGAACUGUUUCCC
rnacentral:rRNA from 1 species